UACAGAGGUCUCAAGCGUUGUUCGGAUUCAUUGGGCGUAAAGGGUGCGUAGGUGGCGCCAUAAGUCGGGUGUGAAAUCUCGGGGCUUAACUCCGAAACUGCAUUCGAUACUGUGGUGCUUGAGGACUGGAGAGGAGACUGGAAUUCAUGGUGUAGCAGUGAAAUGCGUAGAGAUCAUGAGGAAGACCAGUGGCGAAGGCGGCCAGCUAGACCAGUUCUGACACUGAGGCGCGACAGCGUGGGGGAGCAAACAGG
rnacentral:rRNA from 1 species